rnacentral:lncRNA from 1 species
CUCUCUUUGUUUGAUGGAGUCAGACCAACAUGCAUUAAACAUGAGCAUGAUGGUAAUCUAUCCCAAUACUGGAUGGACACCAUCAACGUGUGUUUUCUUGGUGUAUUAAACACUAAUGGUGGGAGAUACUGUACACUUUCACAUGGAUAUAUGUGUACUUGAUGGCAAAGUUGCAAAGAAAAAGCCAUAUCUAGACUGGCCAAUAGAAAGAAAAGAUUAAGAUGGGCAAAAGAACAGACACUGGACAGAGGAACUCUGUCUAGAAGGCCAGCAUCCCGGAGUCGCCUCUUCACUGUUACUAUUUACACGAGCCAGUUUGCGCUGUCCUGUGAAGGGAGUAGUACAUAGCGUUGUUCGAGAUCUUCAGUUUCUUGUAAACUGCUACUUUUACCUUCCUGGGGGUACUGCUGUUGGAGGGAACAGACAACCAGACACAUCAAACCAUCUAAAUAUGUUUUACCACUAAUGUUUCAAGAGAUACUGUAGAGGCAGUGUAAACAGUGUUGGCUUAGCCAGAAUGUCCUCUGGUGCUAUGUGGAUCUUGACGUGUCCUGUAUGCACUGCUGUAGACCUACAGUAUAUGGUGUUUCAAUAUUUUGUAGUUUAUGUAUGUAGUCUUCUGUCUUUCUCCUCUCUGUGUUGUGUCGAUUUAUAGCUUUUGUGAAGCUGUUUCCUCUACUAGCCUGUUUAUGUAUUUAUAUUUGUAUUUGCUCUCAGUAGGAUGCCUUGUUAGUAGUGUCCUUGUGACUUGUAGCCCAGCCGUUGUCUCUGAUGAUUUCAUGCUUUGUUAGUGAGCAUAAUUGUCAUCAUCAUCCUCAUCACAAGGGUAGUGGAACUGAUGAUGAUGGUAAUUGUGUAGUCAGCAGGUGAGCGUGUGUGUGCUUUAUCUUCUGUGUGUACCUUGGUUGCCUGGCCUAGAUAAUGUGUGAUUAGGUGUCCAUGUCUUUGAGCUUCAAUCAAUAAUGUUUUUUUAGAUGGAGAACAGAAAGACAGCAGAAAUGUACUUUUAACAUGCUGAACUAAGGUUCACUGGUUUUUCAUGCCUUUAAAUGCAGACUUUUAAUUGAAAGCUAUACUUUAUUGUAUUCACUUCGUAACAUAAUGUAGUAUUGAAUAUUGAAAUCAAAUUAAAUGUUAUUUUUCACAUGCUUCUAACAGUAGACUAACAGUGAAAAGCAUACUUUUCUCUCCCAACAAUGCAG